rnacentral:rRNA from 1 species
AUUGGAGGCACUGCCUGCCCAGUGACGACCGUUAAACGGCCGCGGUAUCCUGACCGUGCAAAGGUAGCAUAAUCACUUGUUCUCUAAAUAGGGACUUGUAUGAAUGGCCACACGAGGGUUUUACUGUCUCUUACUUCCAAUCAGUGAAAUUGACCUUCCCGUGAAGAGGCGGGAAUAUAUUAAUAAGACGAGAAGACCCUAUGGAGCUUUAACUACUUAGCCCAAAGAGACAAAUUUCAUUACCAAGGAAACAACAACACUCUUUAUGGGCUAACAGCUUUGGUUGGGGUGACCUCGGAGAACAAGAAAACCUCCGAGCGAUUUUAAAGACUAGACCUACAAGUCGAAUCACGCAAUCGUUUAUUGAUCCAAAAAAUUGAUCAACGGAACAAGUUACCCUAGGGAUAACAGCGCAAUCCUAUUCAAGAGUCCAUAUCGACAAUAGGGUUUACGACCUCGAUGUUGGAUCAGGACAUCCCGAUGGUGCAACCGCUAUCAAAGGUUCGUUUGUCCACGAUUAAAGUCCUACGUGAUCUGAGUUCCAACCGGAGAA